AUGACCUGGGGAUCUUGUUAAAAUGCAGAUUUUGAUUUAGCAAGUCUGGGAAGGGGUCUGAGACUCUGCAUUUCUAACAGGCUCCCAGGUGAUGGUGC
rnacentral:pre_miRNA from 1 species